AUUUAUAGGAAAAAAAAAACCCCUCAAGAAGUAGCUCGCUUUCUUCUCCCUGACCAAAUUCAAAAUUAUUUUCCAAAAUUUCCCGGCAAUUCCUUGAGAAUGCUAUGGAGGAGCAACACCAGAAUCUCGCUUAUGGAGCUCUCUCCUGCCCUAAUCGACAUUAUGGUUGUCCAAUUGAAGGUAUGGAAUCUGUUGUUGCGACUGUCAGUGGCUACCAUGGCACAGAAAGAUUCAACCUUAUCAAGAUGAUAUCUUAUACUGGUGCCAGCUAUGUGGGUGCAAUGUCAAGGUCUAUUACUCAUUUGAUUUGUUGGAAAUUGGAAGGGAGGAAAUUUAGUCUUGCUAAGAAGUUCAAAACAAUAAUAGUCAACCAUCGUUGGCUUGAAGAUUGCAUCAGGCAAGGAAAGCGUGUCCCAGAAGGUCCUUACAUUCUUCAAAGUGGCCAAUCAGCAGGUCCCUUGUCAAUUGAACUCCCUCUUGCUGCCAAGGAUUCUGUCUCAACCACAAAGUAUAACGUGCUUUCUGAAAAGUCACAGAAUUGUGGAAAUGUUGAAGAGCAGAGCAUUAAAAGCAUAUACUCUUUUGGUGCAAUCUGGCCACGUUCUUGUUUGCUGGAUAAGGAUCUGUUCUCUGAUUUUGGAAAAAGUGACGACACCUCUCAUAAAUCAAAGCACAAAUUGCGGAAGAAGAUUUCUAAGCAAGAAGACCCAUCAAACUCAAGUAGCAGAAAUAAUUUUCAGGAACCAACUCCCUCCGAGUUUCUCGAAAUUGAGCGUGGUAGCUCUUCAAGCUUGGCCAGAGAUGAAAGAAAAGGUGAAAAUAGUAAUCUGUCCCCUACUGUUAAAUCUUCACGGAGGCGGCGGCUUCUGAACAGAAAUACUAGCGAAGAUCAUUGUAAGCCUGACGUUUGGGAUUUUGACCCAGAGUGCUAUCAUUUGGGAACUCGUAACCAUGGCAAUAAUUUUACAGUUUUGUCUUGCCAUUUGAAUAAUGAAAGAGAUAUUGAAGUGGUAGGCAUUGGAGGAUCAUCUGAUCAUGGUCUGUUGUGUGACGAAGGGGGAAUUGUAAGUGACAGUUUUGAAGGUGUUGAAGCUCGCGAGAAUCAAUUUACUUCCAAAGAUGCGAACUUACCAGUUGAGAAUGCACCAGGAGUCCUCAUGAUAUCUUCAGAAGAUGAAUUGUCUAAUAUUGAUACUUUACAAAAGGAAAUUGAGGACCCAGCUGUAGAACACAAUGCGAGCCUACCCACUUCAGCAGAGUUAUCAUGUGUUAUCUGUUGGACAGAUUUUAGUUCGAUGAGGGGAGUUUUGCCUUGUGGGCACCGGUUUUGCUAUUCAUGCAUUCAGAAUUGGGCAGAUCACAUGGCUUCGAGCAGAAAGAUCUCAACUUGCCCUUUGUGCAAAGCCAGUUUUCUGAGCAUCACAAAGGUUGAGGAAGCUGCCACUUCAGAUCAGAAGAUAUAUUCUCAAACAAUUCCAUGUGGCCCGUCACUAUUGGAUAUUUUCAUUCUUCCCGAUGAAAGAACUCUUAACAGCGGUGUUCAGGCCUCUGUAGGAGGUGUUUGUAGUGCAUGCCGAUGCCGGGAACCAGAAGACCUCCUCAUGAGUUGCCAUCUUUGCCAGAUUCGACAUAUUCAUUCGUACUGUCUGGACCCUCCCUUGUUACCAUGGACUUGCAUUCACUGCAAGGAUCUGCAGACACUCUACCAUCGCAGCCAUUAAUUUGUUAUCCUGAAAUCAGUAGUUGGGAGCUUUGGGAGGUAGGGCACUUCGUUUAUAUUAUUUGGGUGUCAAGAACAUCAAAUGGGGAGACAAUUGAGGGUUAGCUCAAGAUUUUGAAGCAAAGAAAAGCCAGGCUGCCUCCCACAAAUCUCCACUGCUAAGGUUGUGCCCAACACUUAUUAUUGAUAUUACUUUGAAAAGUUUCAAUUUGUUUGGCAAAUGAUUAUGAUGUGGUUUUGAAUGUAAUGUUUUACAUCAAUGACUUUUACGGAAAGAGGAGAAUAGGGAAAAAUCUACCCCUACAUCUUAAAAUUCUUAUUGUGCACAAGUAUUAUUGUUAUAUUGAAAACUCAUUGAAACUUCUCCCUUUCAACUAUUCAUAUGGGAUUUUUUUCCCCAAAAAAAUUGAUGGAUAUAUUCCAUUAUGACU